rnacentral:rRNA from 1 species
CACAUGCAAGCCGAACGAUGAAGCUGAAGCUUUUGUUUUGGUGGAUUAGUGGCGAACGGGUGAGUAAUACGUGAGUAACCUGCCCUUGUCUUUGGGAUAAGCCUGGGAAACUGGGUCUAAUACCGGAUAUUCUGCUUCUGCCGCAUGGUGGGGGUUGGAAAGAUUUUUGGAUGGGGAUGGGCUCACGGCCUAUCAGCUUGUUGGUGGGGUGAUGGCCUACCAAGGCGUCGACGGGUAGCCGGCCUGAGAGGGUGACCGGCCACAUUGGGACUGAGAUACGGCCCAGACUCCUACGGGAGGCAGCAGUGGGGAAUAUUGCACAAUGGACGCAAGUCUGAUGCAGCGACGCCGCGUGGGGGAUGAAGGCUUUCGGGUUGUAACUC